GGAUUAGAUACCCUGGUAGUCCACGCCGUAAACGAUGAGAACUAGCCGUUGGGGACCUUGAGUCUUUAGUGGCGCAGCUAACGCGAUAAGUUCUCCGCCUGGGGAGUACGGCCGCAAGGUUAAAACUCAAAUGGAUUGACGGGGGCCCGCACAAGCGGUGGAGCAUGUGGUUUAAUUCGAUGCUACGCGAAAAACCUUACCUGGGCUUGACAUCCCGGGCUACCCUGGGAAACCAGGGGUUCUCUUCGGAGACCCGGUGACAGGUGCUGCAUGGCUGUCGUCAGCUCGUGUUG
rnacentral:rRNA from 1 species